UGACCCUGCUCCUCCUGCUCCAUAGUUCUUUAAUUCCAGGAUAAUAUCUGGCUCCUAUUUGCCCAAGACUAGAGCAAAAAGGGACAUCAGCACUGUUGCAAUAGGGACAGAGUGGGAUGGCCAGGAAGUCCCUCAUGAGCCUUCUUGUGAAGGUUCCAGGCUUUCCAGGACUUUUUGUUUGUUUGUUUGGGCUGGGUUCUUUUAAGAGGGAGAAGGACUCAGGUGUUUUGUGAACACAGAUCGAUUUAGCUGAUACAGGGGCAGGUGAGAACUGAUUUUCAUGAGGGCAACCUGUGAAUGCUGCUGUAGGUGCUUGUCUAGUCCAGAACAACCCUCAGGGGAGACCUACACCCCUCACCUUACCACAGACAGAACGUGAAGAGAGCAUUUGGGAUCAUCACUAUUACUCUUCUGACCACAACGCUACUGAUACCCUGGGACAUUUUUCUGAUGUUGUGUAUGAAGCCAGUCUUGAAGAAAGGUAUCCUUCAGGAACUGUGGAUCCCUGGAUCUGGAAAGAAAUGUAUGGUAACCAGAUUAUCCUCAAGCCUCCCAGACUGCUUUAAUAUUGAUAGAAAUUCAGAAGUUAUUGCAGAUGGAUUUGGAGCACAGAGCAGUAUCCCAGGAAGUGACACCUUCUUGGAAUGAGACUUUGCAAAGGGACAACCGUCACAGUCUCCAGCCACUGGUUUAUUCCACAGCGCAAAAUUUCCUAAAGGAAAAAAAACAGGCUUAGGAGUCUGAUUCAGCAGCCUAUGCAAGAAGGACUGAUGACCAGCAUGACACACCAUGCUUGCCCCAUUCUUUCUCUGUGGGACAUUUGAAAAAAGGAUUUAUCUAAUCCCUUCCUACAACAAAAUAUUAAGAAUAUUUUCCUCCAGCCCUUUAUACACCACCUGCAGUGCCCUGCAUUAGGACUUUACCUGAGGCCAUAAGAUGCCUCUGCUCAAAAAGGGGCAUUGCUGGGGCAAGUGAAAAGCAGCCAUCACCUUCCUGCUCACCUGAAACAUAUGCACACACACAGAGUGAAGUCCACCCCUCUCAGCCCUUCAGUGAGACAACACUUCAUCUCCCAGUCUCCUGAAUCUGUCAGCUGGUUAUUUCAGCUGCACCACCAAGUCUGGCAACCAAGCCCUUUCCCUGGUCUUUCAAGCUACUCAGCAAGGGCCAACACUGCCUAGAGAGGAUCUUCUAGAAACCAAGGACUGGCACUGGAUAAUUCAAUCACAGAGCUGAAAAGCUCUGCAAGCCACAGAGAGAAAAUACCCCUCUCCCCCUCUUUCUCUUCUUUCUAGAUAUCACCUAGAAAAAACUCAUCCCCUCUAAUGCCGCCCUUUCCUGUUGUCAUAACACCUUUUACAAAUGGAGGGUGUGAUGCUCUACCACCAAACCCAAAAUGUUUUCCCUACUGGUUUUGUUCCACACAGCCCCCUUGGGUAGGUACCCCUGAAAGUUCCCUGUCUCCCUCACCCAAACCCCACAUCUCCUCAUGAGGGGAGGCAAGACCUGGGCCCAUCAUCUCUGUCAGGUGUCCACACAGAUGCACAAAUGCAAGCCAAGAGCCACAGCCCCAGGGCUGAUUGCCUGUUUCUUAGGUAUGAAGUUUCCCCAUGAUCCUUAAAGCACAUGACUGUAACUCUGCUCACCCCCACACCCCUUUCCAGUGCUGUAUCACAUGUAUCUGUCCACGCUUCUGCC